rnacentral:rRNA from 1 species
AAUGAACGCUGGCGGCGCGCCUAAUACAUGCAAGUCGAGCGAGAAGACGUAGCAAUACGUUUGUAAAGCGGCGAACGGGUGAGGAAUACAUGGGUAACCUACCCUCGAGUGGGGAAUAACUAGCCGAAAGGUUAGCUAAUACCGCGUACGCUCCUUGGACUUCGGUUCAGGGAGGAAAGCGAUACCGUGGGUAUCGCGCUCUUGGUUGGGCUCAUGUCCUAUCAGCUUGUUGGUGAGGAACGGCUCACCAAGGCUUCGACGGGUAGCUGGUCUGAGAGGACGAUCAGCCACACUGGCACUGCGACACGGGCCAGACUCCUACGGGAGGCAGCAGUAAGGAAUAUUGCGCAAUGGGCGAAAGCCUGACGCAGCGACGCCGCGUGGGGGAUGAAGGUCUUCGGAUUGUAAACCCCUUUCGGGAGGGAAGAUGGAACGAGCAAUCGUUCGGACGGUACCUCCAGAAGCAGCCACGGCUAACUUCGUGCC